UACGUAGGGGGCAAGCGUUGUCCGAAUUUACUGGGCGUAAAGAGCGCGUAGGCGGAAGCUUAAGUGUGGCCUGAAAGCCCCCGGCUCAACCGGGGAAGGUGGCUGCAAACUGGGCUUCUUGAGGGGGAUAGGGGAAAGUGGAAUUCCGGGUGUAGCGGUGAAAUGCGUAGAGAUCCGGAGGAACACCAGUGGCGAAGGCGGCUUUCUGGGUCCGCCCUGACGCUGAGGCGCGAAAGCGUGGGGAGCGAACGGG
rnacentral:rRNA from 1 species